AAUAACAAGAGCCGUGGAUACAUGAGGGCUCAUUAUACUAUUCUAUUUUUGUAUUUAUAGGAAUAGAAUGUACAUUUGUAUGUACAGUAUGGUCAUAUUUCUGAAAGCAUGUGCAUAAAAUACAGCAAUGAACUGGGCGCCUUUCCAUGUUUGUAUGCAUAUAUUUUAAUAAAAAUAUAUACACUAAGCUUUCAAAAAUUAUUGCUGAUUCUUUUGUAAUUUUGAAAUUUAUUAAUACGCUUUUUGGUUUUGCCUUCAUAAAUCAGGGAUGAAAACAGCCUGGGGAAGCUGAGGAAUUUUUUUAAACAAAGGGGAAUAUUCAUCUUCUGACCUGAACAGAAUGAUAUUAUACAGCAAAAGAAGACCCUUGAAUCCAUGAUACUUUCUUGAAAGUCAGAAGCCAGAAGGCCAAGAAGCUACGGAGGUGAGGCCCACAGGACAGCAGUGAGCAGGAAGGAGGAGAGAUAAGAAUGGGUCAGCAAGGGCCAAAGGAACACAUCUACACACUCCCUUGUGACAGAAAUCUUUUCCGGUGAUACAUACUUUUGUUUGAAGAGCAAAUAAAGUGAGCGAUAAUGUCA